rnacentral:rRNA from 1 species
UACGAAGGGGGCUAGCGUUGCUCGGAAUUACUGGGCGUAAAGGGAGCGUAGGCGGACAUUUAAGUCAGAGGUGAAAUCCCGGAGCUUAACUUCGGAACUGCCUUUGAUACUGGAUGUCUUGGGUGUGAGAGAGGUAUGUGGAACUCCGAGUGUAGAGGUGAAAUUCGUAGAUAUUCGGAAGAACACCAGUGGCGAAGGCGACAUACUGGCUCAUUACUGACGCUGAGGCUCGAAAGCGUGGGGAGCAAACAGG